UAUGUGAUCGUCUCUCGCAUAUCAAUAAGCGGAGGAAAAGAAACUAACAAGGAUUCCCCUAGUAACGGCGAGUGAAGCGGGAAGAGCUCAAAUUUGAAAUCUUAAAGGGUUUCCCUUUACGAAUUGUAGUUUAAAGAAGUGUUUUCUGUUGAGGUUUUGGUAAAAGUUCUUUGGAAUAGGACAUCAUAGAGGGUGAGAAUCCCGUAUUUGACCUUUACUUUCAACUUUGUGAUACACUUUCAAAGAGUCGGAUUGUUUGGGAAUGCAGUCCAAAAUGGGUGGUAAAUUUCAUCUAAAGCUAAAUAUUGGCGAGAGACCGAUAGCGAACAAGUACCGUGAGGGAAAGAUGAAAAGAACUUUGAAAAGAGAGUUAAACAGUACGUGAAAUUGUCAAAAGGGAAGCGUUUGACACCAGUGUUGUUUUUCUGAAAAUCAAUUAAAGAACUGUUUAUGCUAAGUUGUUUAGACUUUAUCAGCUAACUGUUUAGUUUUGAGCUUUUCUUUAAUGCACUUUUCAGUUAACAAGUCAACAUCAAUUUCUUUUGCUGUACAAAAAGCUUGAGGAAGGUGGCUUGAGAUUCGUCUUAAGUGUUUAUAGCCUCUUGCCUAUGCAGUCGGAGAGAUUGAGGUCCUGCAGCGUAGAUCCUUCGGGGCUAAAUGCAUUUGUGCUAAGUUAUAGCAUUUUAUAGACAACUUGUUGACUAUGAUUUGUCUUGUAGCUUACUCGCUUAUGUUAUUUUACCUACGCUUAGGAUGUUGAUCUACAGAGCGAGAG
rnacentral:rRNA from 1 species